CCUACGGGUGGCAGCAGUGGGGAAUAUUGGACAAUGGGCGAAAGCCUGAUCCAGCCAUGCCGCGUGUGUGAAGAAGGCCUUCGGGUUGUAAAGCACUUUCAGUGGGGAAGAAAGCCUUGGGGCUAAUACCCUCGAGGAAGGACAUCACCCACAGAAGAAGCACCGGCUAACUCCGUGCCAGCAGCCGCGGUAAUACGGAGGGUGCGAGCGUUAAUCGGAAUUACUGGGCGUAAAGCGCGCGUAGGCGGUCUGAUAAGCCGGUUGUGAAAGCCCCGGGCUCAACCUGGGAACGGCAUCCGGAACUGUCAGGCUAGAGUGCAGGAGAGGAAGGUAGAAUUCCCGGUGUAGCGGUGAAAUGCGUAGAGAUCGGGAGGUAUACCAGUGGCGAAGGCGGCCUUCUGGACUGACACUGACGCUGAGGUGCGAAAGCGUGGGUAGCAAACAGGAUUAGAUACCCUGGUAGUC
rnacentral:rRNA from 1 species